UUGAACAUACGAAUUCAUUCUACUAUUCUUCAAUGGUACAUUAUCUAUCUGUCUAUGAUAUCUGCUGUUUUCAUAUCUAUUAUCUAUGACAUGUGUCUAUUUUAUCUGUGGUGUCUAUGCUAUAGACAAGAGGUAUAUAAGUUAUUAUAUAUCUGUAAUCUAUGGGUUUAUGCAAAUGCUAUGGUUCACACUGACAGUUCGUCGCCAUAUAAUCUUGCAGUUUUACUUAAAAUUAGUUUUAAUUGGUUUUAGAUUGUUCUAUAUAUCUACAUAAAAGUGUAUUGAAGUUUAUUUCGCUGUUACAAACUAAUCACAAAUGAAUGGUAUGCAAUGAAUGAUGAUUCCCUCAUAUUCCUGAGUCUCGUUGACUUGUCCUAUUCUUGUGGACUUAAUUAUUAUUAAGGUAUGACCUAAUUAAAAUGUUUUGUCAGUGAACAAGUUUUUCCUUUGAUGCUCAACAUUACUGUCUUGUAUUCAGCUUUCACCUUCUGUACUCUUUAUAAGACUAUAACAAUAUAUUAGUAUGUGAUAUUAUAUUGUUGUGGUAGUCCCCUUUCACUCCAGAACAUACCACCACUUCAAUCAACCAUGAAAGUGCCUACAAUGAGGAUAUAACUUAUCACUUCAUGAAACCUUCAAAUGGCUUGAAAGUGUUUCUAUCCAUGGGAAAGUGGUAGUUGUACCACAAAUUUCUCGUGGGUUAUUGUCUUGAAUCAAAUUGAAGAAUAAUAAAUGAAUAUGAAGACAGUGGAUCAAAAAGGCUUGAAGUAUGGAAAAGCAGUCCCACUCGUAAAUUAUUCUCUUGGGAUUGGAAAAGGCCCAUUUGUGGAAACAGUUGUUGCAAAGAAACAAAAAAUUAGGAUUGGAAACUUGGACUCUCCACAAUCUCCUCUUGUACUUGAGAGGUGCAAUUUCCGUGAUGUUCUGUCUCUUGCUUGUUGGCUCAUUUCAACCAUCAGUGUAUUUCUCCGUUGGCAACGUUUAGUAAUAAAACUGGAGCACCGUACUGUCUACAAUAAUCCUGGAGAUUAUCCAACAAAUGAAAGAGACUAAGGUUCAACUUGGUCAUACUGAAACAGCCAAGGUCUACAGUGGUGUCUUUUGUGAACUACAUAUUCUUGAUUUGCUGUUUUCGUCUUCACCUUGCAACAUCAUGAAGUUAAUUUUCAACUGAUAAAUAAGAACAACAGGAGAUUUACUGAAACAACAUUUUGUGCUGUGGUAUUCCUUCUGGAUUUGGUCUGCAUGUAACAUCUGCAAACUUUGAAAAGUUACAGUCUACAAUUAAUUAAGAUCGACGUUGGAGAAGACAAAGAUGACCCCGCAGUUGAAA